UGAGGCCUUGUCUCUACAAAGAUAACAAUAAAAACAUUAGCAUGACAUGAUGGUAUGCACCUGUAGUUCCAGCUAUUCAGGAAGUUGAGGUGGGAAGAUUGCUUGAGGUCAGGAGUUUGAGACCACAGUGAGCCAUAAUCAGGCCCCUGCAUUCUAGCCCUGGGUUGACAGAGUGAGACCCAGUUUCAUAAAAAGAGAUUGAUAAGAAACUCUUGAUGCAACUCAUUAUAAUUUUAAAUGGAAACUAAUUCUUGAUAUUACCUUAGCAGUGUGUCCCCAAGAAAGUGUCAGAGCCUUUACGUGGACCUUCUCAUGAAAAAGGAAACAGAAUAGUCAAUGGAAAAGGAAAAGGGCCUCCUGCAAAACAUCCUUCCUUGAAGCCUAGCACUGAAGUGGAAGAUCCUGCUGUGAAAGGAGCAGUACAAAGAAAGUAUGUACAGACAUUGAGAGCAGAACAAACCUUACCAGUGGCUUUAGAGGAAGAGCAAGAAAGGUGUGAAAGAAGUGAAAAGAAGCAAUCACAGGUCAAAGAAGGAAAUAAUACAAACAAAAGUGAAAAAAUACAACUAUCAGAAAAUGUAUGUCAUAGUACAUCUUCUGCUGCUGCUGACAGAUUAACCAAAGAAAGAAAGAUUGGGAAAACGUAUCCUCAGCAAUUUCCCAAGAAACUGAAGGAAAAGCAUGAUAGAUGCAUCUUAAGACAAGAAAGUGAAGAAAAAACAAAUGUUAAUAUGCUGUGCAAAAAAAUAGAGAAGAAUUAGAAAGGAAAGGGAAAC
rnacentral:lncRNA from 1 species